rnacentral:rRNA from 1 species
GACGAACGCUGGCGGCGUGCUUAACACAUGCAAGUCGAACGCUCAAGUUUGGUGCUUGCUCCUGUUGGAUUAGUGGCGAACGGGUGAGUAAUACGUGGGUAACCUACCUUUGACUCUGGGAUAACUCCGGGAAACCGGGUCUAAUACUGGAUACUAUAUUUCACCGCAUGGUUCUGUGUUGAAAGGGUUUUUUUGGGUUUGGAUUGGCUGACGGCCUAUCACCUUGUUGGUUUGGUAAUGGCUCACCAAGGCGACGCCAGGUAGCCGGCCUGAGAGGGUGAACGGGCACAAGGGGACUGAGAGAGGGAGCAGAAGGCUACGGGAGGCAACAGGGGAGAAUAUUGCAGAGUAGGGGGGAGCGUGAUGCAGAGAUGCCGCGUGAGGGAUGACGGGCUUCGGGUGGUGAACAAAUUUCAGAGCGGAAGAAGAGAAAGUGACGGUACGUGAAGAAGAAGCGACGGCUAACUACGUG